AUGAUGACUACUCAUGUGUUAGUACUGCCUGACUUUGAGCAACAAUUUUGCAUUGAAACAGAUGCAUGUGCUAUAGGAAUUGGAGUUGUACUCACUCAAGGAGGCCAUCCUGUUUCUUUUUAUAGCAAAGCUUUGGGCGUCAAGAAUCAGUCGUUGUCUACCUACGAAAAAGAAUUUCUAGCAAUUAUGAUGGCGGUUGAGAAGUGGAGAGCUUAUUUGCAGAGAGGUCCCUGUAUUAUCAAAACUGACCAUCAAAGUUUGUGUCAACUGGAAAAUCAGGUACUUACAACAGAUGUCCAGAAGAAGGCCAUGACCAAGCUUGUGGGGCUGCAGUUUCAAUUUCAAUAUAAGAAAGGCACGGACAAUGUAGCAGCGGAUGCUUUAUCCAGGGUGGGGCACUUACUAGCAGUGACCACUACUUCUACUAGCCAACCUGUGUGGCUACAGGAAGUGAUUAACUCCUAUGAAGUGGAUCCUGAGGCACAGGCACUGCUCCAGAAGUUGGCUAUUUCUGAUAACGAUACAACAGAGUAUUCCUUGGAAAAGGGUGUCAUCAAACAUCAGGGCAGAAUUUGGAUUGGAGCAAAUCAAGCUCUAAAAACUAAACUGAUUUUUGCUUUUCAUGCAAGUGUUGUGGGAGGGCAUUCUGGCAUUCAAGCUACAUAUUACAGAAUUCGAAAACUGUUUGUGUGGACUGGGUUGAAGCAAGACAUAGUUGAUUUUGUCCAUCAGUGUGCUGUCUGUCAGCAAGCAAAACAUGAACAUGUUAAAUCCCCAGGUUUACUUCAACCACUUCCUGUCCCUGAAGGGCCUUGGCAAGAAAUCACCAUGGAUUUUAUUGAAGCUCUACCCAAAUCAGAAGGUUAUACAGUGAUUUUGGUGGUGGUGGAUAGACUGACCAAGUAUGCUCAUUUUAUCCCGUUGAAGCAUCCCUUUUCUGCUCCAGUCGUCGCCAAAGCCUUCCUACAUACUGUGGUAAAACUUCAUGGACCACCUCGUACCAUUGUGUCAGACAGAGACAAGAUUUUCACUAGCCAUUUCUGGAAAGGUUUGUUCAAACUAUGGCAUACUAAGUUGCUUAUGAGCACUGCUUAUCACCCUCAAACAGAUGGCCAGAGUGAAAGAGUAAACCAAUGCUUGGAGAUGUUUUUAAGGUGUGUAGUCCAUGAUACUCCAACAAAGUGGCAUGCUUGGUUGCCUUUGGCUGAAUUCUGGUAUAAUACCAAUUUUCAUUCAGCUCUGGAGUGCUCCCCUUUCAAGGCUCUGUAUGGCUAUGAACCUACAUAUGGUGUGUUUCCCACUUUGCUUCAAUCAGACAAGAUAGAUGUGGAACAGUGGCUCAGGGACCAUCAAACACACACUGCGGUGUUGAAAGCACACUUACUCAAGGCUCAGGCUAAGAUGAAGCACUAUGCUGACAAGAAUAGGACACCUAGGGUCUUCUCUGUGGGUGAGGCAGUCUACUUGAAAUUACAACCUUAUGCACAACACUCUGUGGUGAAUAGACCCUGUGCAAAACUGGCCUACAAGUACUAUGGACCAUUUGAAAUAUUGGAGCAAAUUGGCCCUGCCGUGUACAAGCUUCAACUGCCUACAGAAGCUCAAAUUCAUCCAGUUUUCCAUGUGUCUCAACUUAAAGAGUUUGUGCCAGACCAUACACCAGUUUUCACUACUUUACCUGUUCCAGUUGACCUCUCCAGUCUCGAUGUGGCGCCAGGCUCUAUUUUGGAUAGAAAAUUGGUGAAGAGGGGCGAUACUACUCUUUUGCAUGUUCUGAUACAGUGGAUAGGGUUACCUGUGGAAGCGGCUACUUGGGAGAACUAUGACACCAUCAAGAUACGCUACCCUACUGCUCCAGCCUGGGGACAGGCUGAAACUCAAGCGGGAGGCAAUGUCAGCGCUAGUACCCUACCACUAACAAGCAUCAAGGAUGGAGAGGCUGGGCCAUCGACUGACUGA
rnacentral:rRNA from 1 species